rnacentral:rRNA from 1 species
GAUGAACGCUGACAGAAUGCUUAACACAUGCAAGUCAACUUGAAUUUGGGUUUUUAACUUAGGUUUGGGUGGCGGACGGGUGAGUAACGCGUAAAGAACUUGCCUCACAGCUAGGGACAACAUUUGGAAACAAAUGCUAAUACCUAAUAUUAUGAUAAUAGGGCAUCCUAUAAUUAUGAAAGCUAUAAGCGCUGUGAGAGAGCUUUGCGUCCCAUUAGCUAGUUGGAGAGGUAACGGCUCACCAAGGCGAUGAUGGGUAGCCGGCCUGAGAGGGUGAUCGGCCACAAGGGGACUGAGACACGGCCCUUACUCCUACGGGAGGCGGCAGUGGGGAAUAUUGGACAAUGGACCAAGAGUCUGAUCCAGCAAUUCUGUGUGCACGAUGAAGUUUUUCGGAAUGUAAAGUGCUUUCAGUUGGGAAGAAAGAAAUGACGGUACCAACAGAAGAAGUGACGGCUAAAUACGUG